UUUUCAAUGAUGCCAUGAAACGUCAAGCAGAUUUUAUAAAGCAGACAAGCAUUAUUGACCUUCAUUAUGAUCUUUUAAAAAUGGAGAAAUCACCAAAUCAAGAGCAUAAGAAGCAAACGUCUUCAUACAUACAUACAUACAUAUAUCAAACCAAAAGCAUCAAUGUACCAGCACUAUUCAAUCAUAUAGAAGCAUAUAAUUUUGGGAGACGCCAUGGGUUCAACGCCUAAACCUGAAACCCCAAACUUGCCCCCUUGAUAUCAUAGGCAGCAAAACCAAUAAAGACUUUCACUUGUUAUCAUAGGUGGCAAUUCUAUCCAUGAUAUUUCCUAGCACCUUCAUGGACUCUCCAAGCAAUUUGAUACUCUUGUUCAGCUUCUCACGCUUAACAGCGACUGAGGGCGAUUCCUCAAGCAUUCUUUCUAUUGCACCGCCAUGACUACUAAUCAACUCGCUAAAAAUCUCAUUUUCCAUCUUUUUGUUGACAAGAUUUUGAACACUGAACUGAAAAUGCAAGGCCACUGAAUCAACCAGCCUCCUCAAUACAAUAUUCCAGUAUGCAGUCACUCUCAUCUUCAGGUCAAAAGCUUCGUGCAGAACAUUCUGAUUAUACGCACUGAGAUUCCCAACCUCCACCUCUCCAAUACCUUCAAUCACUCCCUUAGACAUCCUAUUUUCCAGGAUGUUCCUGAAUGUAUUCUCUUUGUCCAUGAGCUUCUUCCAUUCGCUCAUGUAUUCAGGAUUGCAAGUAUAAGCUGUCACCUUCUCCAUUUGAACGAUUUCCGUAACCCAGCUGAUGGACUGCUCUUUCAUUUUUGAUAUAAGAUUAUGGCCUGCUCGUCUGGUAGAUAACUGAAGUUGGCGGUAAUUCUCAGAGUGACGCAUCAAAACAGAUACUAACACAUUUUCAAUGUAACUCCAUACUUUUUCAAUGAAAUUGACUGGCACGCUUGAUAUUCCCUCAACUUUUUUCCGCAGAAUAAUCAGGAAGGCACUGCGAGGAAGGAAAUUUGGCAGUUCAAUCCCUCUGGAUUCCUGAAGAACGUGAAUCUCCUCCAUCAAGAAGUUCCUUCUAGGGUCACUUUCGCGGCAAUUAUGAAGUUCACAUGAGUAUUGGUUGAGCAUUUCAACCAAUCUAGCAGUGCAAUGCAUAUGAUAAUCAUGAAGGUACUCAUCAUACUCUCCUCUGAUAAGGAUUUUCCUGAGAGUCUCUUUGGCUGAUCCAAAAAUGCCCAUGAAAGCUGUCAUGGCCUCAGCUGAUGAGGACAGGGUCUUAGGAAUCCUGUUUAGCUCCAAAAUGCUUGCAUUCAGCUUCUCAUCAAUCUUUCUGACUAUACCUGGCAAGCAUCUGGCUAUGAUUGAUGCUUGAAUUUGAGUCAGUUUUUGAGCCAGAACCGGAAUACCCACCAUAGAUUUAUUAAUCCUAGAGAGAAGUGGAUGAGUAUUGAACAAUUUAGCUUCUUCCUUUCGCGCUUCCUCAUAAGACUCGUCACCAAUUCGAUUCCUCACGCAAACAUAACCCAGGCCUAUAUUCACAUCAUCUGCAGUUACCUUCUCAAGUAGGCCUUCAGGUGCCUUAUCAGACUUGGUAACCACAGCAAGAGUUCUCUUGCCAUUCUUGUCCACUUGCUGUGACAUCCUAAUGGAUUCACAAGUGGAAAAAUCAACAGUUGCAGAUAAGACAUUAAGGAUGAUACUCUCUUCAGGCCUUAUGUACUCCAUGAUAAUGCCUGCAAUCUGCUCAUAAAUAUUCUCAGGCUGACCAUGAACAGGAACUCUAGUGAUUCCAGGGAGAUCAAUCAUUGUAAGAUCAGGAACACCUUUCUUUUUCACAACCAGAGUUAAUGGAGUGUUUGAUAUGCCCUUGCCAUCUCCUGCAAUCUCAUUAGUGGCAAGAUUAAUGGCAUCUGCAACGUAGGCUUCAUCAGUGUGUACUGUUUUGCCAUUGAACUCCAAGAAAAGCUCUGGUAUGGGAGUUGGGUGGUGUUUCAGCCUCAUUACAAGGGGCACCCUAGUGCAAAUGCCCAGGCCACGGGGAAGGUUGAUACCAGCUAGUGAUUCAAGAACGCUGGAUUUUCCGGAAGACUGAUCCCCUACAACAACGAUGGUAGGGAGCUGUAUACCUUCUUUCGUGACAUUGAGGAGCCUAAGUUUGUCAACUGCAUCAAGAAGUGGCCGAAUAUGAUCGUUGUAAGAUGAUACGAUGGGUGGAUGGAUUUCCAUAUUUGCAUUUUCUUCUGCAAUAUCCAAUGCAAGUGAAUCCUCUUCCUCUUUCAGCUGUUCUCGCCCAUUUGAGAAACGAUCCAUUUUCUAGGAAAGAGAGAGGAAUUGAUGAGGAAUAUGUAGUCGGAGGAUUUGGAAGUGGGAUGGAGUUCAAAAAGUAGGAAGAGAGAUUUUAUAGGGAAAGUGGAAGCGGGAGGAGAGGAACUGAGGAAGAAAUUUGCGCAGGAAAGAGAGAAUUGGCACAAGUGUUUUGGUAGGGAAAGGGGAAAAUG
rnacentral:misc_RNA from 1 species